GAUGAACGCUGGCGGCGUGCCUAAUACAUGCAAGUCGAGCGAACAGACGAGGAGCUUGCUCCUCUGACGUUAGCGGCGGACGGGUGAGUAACACGUGGAUAACCUACCUAUAAGACUGGGAUAACUUCGGGAAACCGGAGCUAAUACCGGAUAAUAUAUUGAACCGCAUGGUUCAAUAGUGAAAGGCGGUUUUGCUGUCACUUAUAGAUGGAUCCGCGCCGCAUUAGCUAGUUGGUAAGGUAACGGCUUACCAAGGCAACGAUGCGUAGCCGACCUGAGAGGGUGAUCGGCCACACUGGAACUGAGACACGGUCCAGACUCCUACGGGAGGCAGCAGUAGGGAAUCUUCCGCAAUGGGCGAAAGCCUGACGGAGCAACGCCGCGUGAGUGAUGAAGGUCUUCGGAUCGUAAAACUCUGUUAUUAGGGAAGAACAAAUGUGUAAGUAACUAUGCACGUCUUGACGGUACCUAAUCAGAAAGCCACGGCUAACUACGU
rnacentral:rRNA from 1 species